ensembl:lncRNA
AAAUUCUUUUGGUUUCUGUCGUGGCUGGUGAGGCAACAAGUGAGCUGCUCCCCAUGAGCUUUGGCAACAAUUUCACCACCCUAGAACCCAUCAGCACCAAUGAAACCAUCACCACAAAUGUCACGAACCAUCCUUCUACCACUUUUACUCUACCCAACUCCUCCACACCAAUGUACACCAACAACCAGAGCUCAUCUGUAACCACUGGUUUGUCACGUUUUGGACUUUUUUUUUUUUUUUACAAAUUUAUAAAUGUAUUCAGUUUCCUGUUUUGAUGAUGUAUGAUGUGCUUCCUCCUUCAGGUUCGAAUGACGAAGAUUCUAAUGAUAACGUUCGAGGAAACACACCUACGCCUAAGCCCAAACAAACCAUCAUGACCACCAAAACCACAACACCUACCACUACUAAAAAGACAAGCACCACUGCUAAAAAUAUCCACCAUACAUCUAACAGCGGUGACAAAACUGGAAUCAUUAUUUUGAUUGUGCUCAUCCUGUUGGUUUUGGGGUUUGGGAUUACUUGUUGCAUCAUUCAAAGGAGACGUUCACACCUCUCUGUGAAUUUUACCACCUCCAGAGUCGAUGAAGUCAACAUCCCUCUCAGCGCUGCAGAGCCUGAAGUUGGUUCUGCACCUCUAAACGGACACUUUUCAGGCUUCCAAAGCCUUGAAGGGACUCAAACAACUGAAAAAGUGCCAGAAGUGCCUGAAGGGAAUCUUGAAUCACAGGAGGAGCAGAAAGCUGAGGCUGAUAAACCUGCUGAUUCCAGCGCUGAGGCUGAAGCUCCAGCUCCAGCUGCUGCUCCAGCUCCAGCUCCAGCUCCAGACAACCCAGAGGACAAAUCUAAAGCAGACGCGGUCGAUCAAAGCACCCCUGCUACUGUGGAGCCCAGUUCAGAGGAGAAAACUGACGAUGAAGAUGGAGUCUCCAGCAAAACCUCUGUGGAGUCCCUGAAGGAGACAAACGAGAACAACAGCAACAACGUUGACUCUGGUCAGAUAAGAGAAAGGCACCAGCUGAGGGAAGUUCGUGUUGACGCUCCGGAAUGAGAAGCAGCUGCCAUCUUGUGUCCAUGCCGUUCAUCAGAAACAAGAUUUCAGAAGAAGCCUCAGGGGAUGAGAACAUAUCUAUUCAAAGCGUGAGGAAACUGUCACUGAAAACAAUUUGGAGCUAAAUGUUUGUUGCAAAGCAUAUCAUUGAACUUUAAAUGUAAAUUAAGCUAAUUGUUUAGUAUUUUUUUCAACUGAAUUUAUAUGUAUUAAAAGAAGUUAUUGAAAUGAUCUUAAUUUACAAUUUAACAGUUCAAAGAGGUGUGUUGUGCUGAAUUUAUCUGUUUUAUUAGGAAUGUAUUCUAGGAAAAUCAGUGGUUAGUAAGUAUUUCUGCAGCUGUCAUUAAUGUCCAAUGUUAGCAGAGAAAGAUGGAGACAUGAUGGUGGUUAAGUGCAUCUUGUACAGUCUCACAUCUGGCCACAUGAAGCUCUGCACAAACGUUGAAGAAAACACUGUAAACUUUCAUUUGUUUCUUUCAAAGUUUUAAAGAAACAUUUUAAGUUUCCCACUUUUCCCUCCUACUGGUUGAAAGCGGAAAUACAACUGUUGUGAAAAGCCCUCCAGCAGCCUGCUGUAGCUAGCGCUAAUAAGCCAACGCUAACACAAGCCAACUGAUAUUAAAGGAGUUGUUCACAGAAAAAAUAUUUUUAAUUAUUAUUUCUAACUAUUAUUGGUCACUGAGUUUUUUACGAAGCUAAACAUGAUAAUAAUCUUCCACCUGAGGCUAGGUGUCCAAAUAUAAAGAAAUUAGACUCCAUAUCUUCUCGUCUGAAGCUCAACUCUCAUGUGGCUCACUUCUAUUUCCUGAAAUAGGAGCACCAGGAUUUUUUUUUUUGCUGAGUUUGACUUGCAAGGCAUCAUUCUAACUAGAGAUCCCUGCGAAUGUGAUGAUUAAACGAGUGAACCACACCUUUAAAUUUACCACAAACUAAAAAGAUCCACACUGUUGGACAAAAACAUUAUUACUUACAAGUCUAGUAGCAAAAAACCCAGGUCAUGCAUCAUCAAACUGUGAUUUAAUAUCCUCCUUCAGCUUCCUCAAUUGAGCAUAGGUUGCGCUAAUGUUCACUCUGUUUUGACUCCUUGUUUCGCCUCCAAAGACAUUACUCCCUUUUACUUCACUUUUACUUCCAGGCUGCACAAUAAUGCCGACAAAAUAAUGGCAAAAUUCUUCUUUUAUUUAUUCUUGUAUUAUUUAUUGACAAUUGGCCAAUGGAUAAGGCUAACUGCUAGCCUUUAUAUGAGCCACCAACAUGAUAAACAGCUAUUGUGGGUAUAGACCUCCAACUAGUGCACCUACCCAAACCACAAAACUGUUAAAUGUAGUUUCUGGUCAGUAGACGGCUGCAGGUGUCUGUCCAGUGUGAAGUUGCUUAAGUUUGGCUCAAGAAUCACUGAAACCGGUUUAAAAGCAAUAGCUUAGAUUGGUUAAAAAACGUUUUAGUGUUGCUUUAAUCAAAGUUCUCCACCUCAUUCGUGAUCAUUUAUGAUAUAAAUUUUAUAGAUACCUGACUGUAAAUGCUACCACUAUAAUUAUCCCAAAUAACAGACCUUCAUAUUUUUCACACAAAGCAAAGGAAAUAUUAACUUCUCCUAAAUAAACUCUUAUUUUUAAUGAGUAGUAUUUGUGAAAUCAGAAACAUAAAAAAUGAAUAGUUAAACAGUGAAGGUUGUAAAAUAUUAACAUUAUUACAUUUAGAGUUGUCAUAUGUUUCAUGUGGAUGUUGUUUGGUGUUCUUUCUGUUCAGUAGUUUAUAGUUGUUGUGAUUUAAAUGGAAUUACAUUUUUUGAAAUAAAAGUAUUCGUUACAUCCUGUACUUUUUUCUACAUUUCACCCACCUUAACAUGUAUCUAUUUAUUAUAGUCAGUAAGUUAUAGUAAGUAUAUUUGAUCUUAUCAAAUUCUGAUUGAAUGGAUUUGACACCUUAUUAAAUUACAUUUUGUCAGACAAUCUCAGUCUAUAUUAUUCAAUCCUUGAUCACAAAAACAACACUGGAAUAUUUUCCGUGUGUGGCAUGAAGUGAUAUAAAUGAAGUUUUCCUUCAUGCUGGUGAAGCUUCUCAGGCAAUCAGGUCAUGGUUCUCCAAAGGGGUUCAUGUGAAGGCAACUGGACUUUUUUGGUUUCUUGAAGACGUUUUGCUUCUGAUCCAAGAAGCGUUGUCAGUUCUGACUGGAAUGUGGGAGGGUCAAGUUUAUAAACUGUAGCUGUCUAUUGUUGCUCAAUGAGCUGAAACUACCAAUGAAUACCCCUCCUCCCUAUCCACCGAGGAGUCAUUGAAGUCGUAGGGCAUAUUGUUUUUCUUUAAAUCUGCUAUAGAAAUUUUUGAAAACAAAUUAGCUUAAAACUUUUGUUCAUGCCUCUAAACAAAGUUCUAACAUAGUAUAUCUAUAAAUAUAUUGUGGAGUAAAAACAAAUAUUCAAUAAAGAGGUUUUCUUGAAUUUGUCUAAAAACCUCCAUUGAUAACAAGUUUCAGACCCAAAGCAACUAUUGGACUAUCCAGUUGUCGGUCUUGCCGAACCGCCGCAAUUCCACACUUCCCUCUGUCCUCCAUUCAUUCCGCAUUUGAGUAUUUAGAAACAGAUCAUCCUGGUUUGAGAGGUUCUCUGCUCAAUAAUAUCAGAAAGGGAGAGCCGGCUGUUACUAAUUCAACUUUAGGACAAACUACCAGAGUCCAAAAAAGAAAAACACCAUUUGACAAGAAGAGACAUUUGGACCUAGAAAACGGCGACUGAUGUUUUCUCCAGCAUCGUGGGUUUCCAGUUCUGGCAUUAGCAUCUCGGGGAAGAUAUCCAAGGGGAGGGGUGAGUGUUCUGUGAUUAGGGAUGGGUACCUUUGACAUUUGAAUCGAUCCGGUACUAAUUCCUGGUACCUACGAAUCGAUACCGGCACUUAACAGUACCAAAUUUUUGAUACUUUUGAGUGUUUAAUAUUUUUAAUUCUUUUUUAAAAUUAAGUAUAUAUUUUUCUCAACAUAUAACCAUAUUUGAUAAAUAUCACGAUAAAUAACAUACAACUGUUUUAACAUUGUCCUUGUAGUUUUAUAAGCUGAUAAUUAAACUGAAGCAAACAUCUUUACUGUGAACUAAAUUUACUGUGUAUCUUCAUUCCUUUUACCGUCCUUUUUCAAUUGAUUUUUCCUACUGGGAAGUUAGAAUUUCCGAGGAGAAAGCGAAUGCACCAUUAGCUGAUAACAAUGGUGGCAUAGGAAGCUAACAUAUCAAGCUA